CUCGGGGUGAUUGCUACUGCUAAAACAGGUCAAUAAUAUGAUUCUGUCGUACUUUACUUUCUUCUUGAGAUUUGGCUCGGGGUGAUUACUACUGCUAAAACGGGUAAAUAAUCAUAAUAAUCAUCGUACAAAAAUGGCAUCAGAGUUACUUACGUGAUUCUUUCACACGACUACUUGAAAUGGCAGCAUGAGAGCUCCUAAUAUGCUUCUGCUGCUAAAAUUUCCCAGAUGUAGAUUAGUUGCGAAUCACAAGGGGAAAGCAGGUUCAAAUACUGCUCAACGAAAGAAAGAAAGAAUCCCAUGUUAACUCACAGAGUGGCAAGUGGCAUGCAAUGGUCCACGUGGCAUCUGAUGAACCACUGGUUUGAUGAAGUUGGGAGCAGCAGAAUUCAGACCUUCUCUUGUUUUGUUUUCUAGUGUUCCAAGUUCCAACUGGGAUUAGUAGGACGCCAGGCAGGCGAGUGAGAUUCACUCCCUACAUUGUAAUCAGCAACAGAAUCUUUAUCCGUCUCUGUAUCUUGGUUUGAGUUUCUCAAAAAACGUCAUCGCCUGUGCAAGCUUUUUUGACUUUAAGCUUUUAUUGUACGCAUAAAAUCAUCAAGUACCCCAUUGUUUGAGGCUUUGAGCAGCUAAUCAAGUCCUUGUUUUCCUGGACGGUGUAAUACUGGAAACGGCUUUUUACAUCAAUUUCAGGAUUGAAAGAUUUAACUGACCACCACAGUUUCUUGAGUGUGAUGAGUGCUGACAAUGGCGACAUGGAUUUGGGGCUUUCCCUUGGAUGUUCCAGUAACUGCAUCAGGACAAAGUUGAAGGAAAAUUCUGGUGCAGGUGUAAAUGCAGCAUCAAUAAUCGACAUGACAUAUGCAGCAUCUAAUUCCCUGUCUGAAUUAAUUUGGUCCCCGCACAGCGGUUUGAGUGUCAAAUGUGCUGAGCGCAGCUUAGCAGAUAAGAAGCCUUUUCUUUUGUGGAAUGUGGGACCAAGCAAUAGGAUUCCUUCACUAUCUCAAGGUAUCAGCUGCAAUGGAACUGAUGAUGAGACAAAGAUGGAGGAAAAUUUCAUUAUUUCAGAGGCAGCAUUCCAUGUGGACAGUGAGAUUGUGCAGAGAGCUAGUUUGAGUCAAUCUCCUGGAAGCACUGCCAGGCCAAUAAUUGGUUCAAGCCAUGUACAAAAUAUGGAGGUUGUUUCUAAGGAACUGACUAAGAGUCAAUCGACAGAGAGCAGAGAUGAAAUGGAUGAAGAGAAAAUUGAGAAAGACAUUUUAGUUAAAGAAAGAGGUGAAAAUGCUGGCUAUCUUGAUGAGAAUGAUAAAGAAUCAUGUGAUCCAUGCAAUGAGCGAAUUGCUAUUAUGGCUGAAAGAAGUCAAGAGAAUACAGGUCCUAUUGGUUCCAAUAUUGACAUGGCAAGAACCAAAGCCUUAUCUGGGGAUCUUAAUAUGGGAAUUUCGAAUGAUUUUAAUCCUAUUGUUAGCAAGGCUGUUAAUGGUGGGCAGUUCCUUGAAGAAGUGACUACAGCUGCUGAAGUUCACAGGGAAACAGUAUCUGAAGCACAGAUUACCCCACCACAGAUAUCAAUGUAUCUUGACGAACCUAACAAGGAAGUGAAGGGGGCUUUUGAAGAAGAGCGAAAAAACAAGAGCAAGAUACAUGGGUCUAUGGUGCCUAUUUUGCAGAAGCUAGAACACACAGCUGAAAAUGAUCUGCAGCAUCCAAUGACAAAAGAUGCAUAUCAGCAGAAUGAAGAGAGACUUCUCAGGGGCUGCUCUCUUCCACUUGAAACUUCUCCAGGCGAUGGAAGCAAGCAACCAUGUCCACUGAAAGGCAAAGAGAAAGCUUUAUCUGAUAGCAAUAUCGGUGGAAGAUUCUCAAAUAAUCUAGAUGACAGCCAAGAGAGUGUGGAAAGCUGUACCAGCACUGGAUUACUUGGCAAGAGAAGAUGGAAGUUUGAUCAACAGUUAAUUUGUGAGAGCAAAAGAGUCAAGCAGCAGACAGAUGGAUGUCCAGAAUCAACAUCUUUAAUCAAACAUGAUAGAUCUUUCAUGAACUGGAUAUCAAACAUGGUGAACGGGUUCUCUAAAUCUAAUCAUGAAGAAGUUCCAUCUCUUGGUCUCACCCAUGCACAUUCGAGUCGUGAACAGACAGAUAUUCUUCAUGAAACCAUGAUAUGUAGAGAACAUCAAGAGUCUGUAAGCAAAAAUAUGGGUUUCCAAACUAUAUUUAGGUCCCUGUACCGUUCCGGUGUGAAGCUAAUAGAAACUCAAGUAUCAAGAGAUGAUUCUUCAGUAGAAAGAUUGCAGAAUCUUGUGCAGGCUGACAAAAUUAAUGUUCAACGUUCUUCGAUCAACUCCUCUGUACAGAAUCGGGUGUCUUUGGGUCACAUUUUUAUGGCAGAUGAAAAGAUCCUCCCAUCCUCAACUGAAUGUGUAGUCAGUCAGUCUGAUCAAGCUUGGAAUUUAUCUGCAAUUCCCAUUAAAAAUGAAUUCAGCACCGACUCUGCAGAGGAUAAAGCUCCAAGUAACCAAGAAUUUUGUAAAGGUAACACUGGGAUAAGUUCAUCCAAUUCUCUAGGUCAUCACAAGAUGACUGCUGCUGAGAAUGCGAACACCCAAGUUGCAUCUGAUGGUAGAGAAACAUAUGACUUGUCUAACAAAAACAAUCUUUUAGGUAGCUUAUGGAUCACCCGGUUUUCAACCAAAACAAAUAGCAUUCCAUUGAACUUAAACCACUCCAAAAGAGAUAAUUGUCUGGCCAUUGAUGGUCUAGGUGACUGUGAAAGGCCCAACACUCAAAAUCAGAAAAGUCUGAGUUUUCCCAUCGAGGAAAAGCAUUCAGAUACCAGGGUAAAUGGGAAUUCAGGUGAUUUGGUUAAGAAUUUGGAGACAUUUGCUGCCAGUGCUGAGUUUUCUCUUGGCUUUAAGGAGAUACAUGAACGUAAGCAUUCAAAUUCUGUGCUUAAAAUUCAAUCUACUUUACCUUCCCAAGGACCCGAGAGUUCAGAAGCAAUGGCCUCUACAUUUGCUAGGAGAGUGGACGCCCUCAAACACAUCAUACCUUCAGAGGCUAAAAAAGAUGCAAAUUUCACUGCAGCAACUUGUUUUUACUGUGGUAAAAGUGGCCAUAAUUUACAAGACUGUUCAGAGGUAAUGGAAUCCGAGCUUGAGGAUCUUCUGAUAAAUAUGAGCAGUUGUAAUUGGCCUGAAGAUUCACCAUGUUUGUGCAUUAGAUGUUUUCAGAUUGAUCAUUGGGCCAUUACCUGUCCGGUAGUGACUUCAAAUAGGCAACAUCAAUUGGAGAAUAAGAUGUCCUUUGUUAAGUGUCAGAAUGUUAGUAAACCAAUUUUGUUUUCAGGCAAUCAAAGAAAGGCGUGCUUUCUUGACAAGGGAGACCAUCUUAAAGUUGGUCUAUGCAGUGGAGAAGAACCUUCUAUGAACACUGGCCUCAGAAACCUGGUGUUCAAUCCAGAGGAGUUUUCUGGCAAUAAUUUGGGUUCAGAUGAAACUGAGAAACGGAAAACUUCAAAUUCUGGGAAGAAGAAACUGAUAGAGCAUCAGAAUCUGCCUUUAUCUAAUUUGGUUAGCGAGCGGAUUGAAGAAGUACCAAAAGUUAUUUUUGAUGCCGUGAGGCGGCUUCAGUUAUCUCGUGCAGAUAUACUCAAAUGGAUAAACUCCGAUGUCUCACUGUUACAUUUGGAAGGUCUUUUCCUGCGCUUGCGACUGGGUAAAUGGGAAGCAGGAUUAGGUGGAACUGGCUACUAUGUUGCUUGUAUUACAGGGGAACCAGUGAAAGAUUCUAAAACUUCCAUUUCUGUGAGUGUUGGAGGUAUUAAAUGCUCGGUUGGGAGUCAGUAUGUGUCCAAUCAGGACUUCUUAGAGGAUGAACUAAAGGUCUGGUGGUCCAGAACUUUGAGGAAUGGUGGGAAGAUUCCAUCAACGGAGGAUUUGGAAACGAAAUUGAGACAGAGAAUCAAAUCAGGCUUCUAAAUUCUACACUUAAGACCAGUAGCAUAGCAUCACCAAGCUACAGUGGGUUUCUUGCGCAAGUUUUCUGAUUUGGUUAAUUAAGGGUGGCGUCAAAUUUGGCCCAGAAUCUACUUUGCUGUUUUGAAUGGACUAGGCAAAGGAUAAGACUCUAAAGUGGAUUUGACAACCAAAUUCACUUAAUAGUGCUGGAAUCUUGUCCUGUCAAUUUGGGUCCUGGAAAGAAACCAUGAGGAUUCUCCUACAGAAAUAGUCUUGGAAGGAUUAGUACUUAAAGCAAAAUUCUUUUAUGCUGCUCGCGGUUGAGGAUUCAUCGCUGCCGCCUGGGAUCCAUGCAUUAAGAGGACUAGCAUUAUAAAGCCACUUUCAUGCUCCCAUUACAGCAAUUCACGAGAUAGAACUUUGUUCUUUCUCCGUCCAGUAGCCCCUUUUCAGAACAUAAUUUGUCAGGCUCAAAUAAUUUUUGUUUUGUCCAAAAAUGUAAAUCACUUACCUCAAGUGAAAAGCUGAUAGAAAUCCUUUUACUUGCGGGAAUUAUAAUUACUAGUGAUCGAUGCA